rnacentral:sRNA from 1 species
AAAAUUAACCUAGAUUUUGAAUCAAAUCAUUCUCCAAACGAAGUUAGGGAAAACUAACCCAGAUUUGUCGUCGCCGCCGAUGCCUCAUCAUUAUCCGAAACUCCUCGCCGCCGACUACUCUUCCUCGUCGCCGGCAUUAGAGUUCUUCUCUGAACAGUUAAUCGAUAAACCCAAAAAUCGUCUUAUUGUUCCACACUUUAACACUUCCUCCACUUAAGCAAAGACUCGAACUCGAACAGAGCCUCAAUCGGAAUUGUGUUUCAGUUUCGUCGGAAUUUCUCUGGUUCUUCGAAAACGGACUUCGUCUGUUCUGCUUUCUCGAAGAAGGAAUGACAGUUUUUGAUUUAUUUUAAGUUUUAAAAUUAAUAAUUUUAAAUAU